AGUCGAACGAUGAUAUCACUGCUUGCAGUGAUUGAUUAGUGGCGAACGGGUGAGUAACACGUGAGGAACUUGCCCAUGAGCGGGGGACAACAUUCGGAAACGGAUGCUAAUACCCCAUAGGUGGAUUGGUCGCAUGACGAAUUCAUUAAAGGUGGCUUUGCUACCACUCAUGGAUAGCCUCGCGGCGUAUUAGCUAGUUGGUAAGGUAAUGGCUUACCAAGGCAGUGAUACGUAGCCGACUUGAGAGGGUGAUCGGCCACACUGGGACUGAGACACGGCCCAGACUCCUACGGGAGGCAGCAGUAGGGAAUCUUCCACAAUGGGUGCAAACCUGAUGGAGCAAUGCCGCGUGAGUGAAGAAGGUCUUCGGAUCGUAAAGCUCUGUUGUUAGAGAAGAACACGUGCUAGGUAACUACUAGCGCCUUGACGGUAUCUAACCAGAAAGUCACGGCUAACUACGUGCCAGCAGCCGCGGUAAUACGUAGGUGACAAGCGUUGUCCGGAUUUAUUGGGCGUAAAGGGAGCGCAGGCGGUCUGUUUAGUCUAAUGUGAAAGCCCACGGCUUAACCGUGGAACGGCAUUGGAAACUGACAGACUUGAAUGUAGAAGAGGAAAAUGGAAUUCCAAGUGUAGCGGUGGAAUGCGUAGAUAUUUGGAGGAACACCAGUGGCGAAGGCGAUUUUCUGGUCUAACAUUGACGCUGAGGCUCGAAAGCGUGGGGAGCGAACAGGAUUAGAUACCCCGGUAGUCCA
rnacentral:rRNA from 1 species